rnacentral:rRNA from 1 species
UUAAGCGACUAAGCGUACACGGUGGAUGCCCUGGCAGUCAGAGGCGAUGAAGGACGUGCUAAUCUGCGAUAAGCGUCGGUAAGGUGAUAUGAACCGUUAUAACCGGCGAUUUCCGAAUGGGGAAACCCAGUGUGUUUCGACACACUAUCAUUAACUGAAUCCAUAGGUUAAUGAGGCGAACCGGGGGAACUGAAACAUCUAAGUACCCCGAGGAAAAGAAAUCAACCGAGAUUCCCCAGUAGCGGCGAGCGAACGGGGAGCAGCCCAGAGCCUGAAUCAGUAUGUGUGUUAGUGGAAGCGUCUGGAAAGGCGCGCGAUACAGGGUGACAGCCCCGUACACAAAAAUGCACAUGCUGUGAGCUCGAUGAGUAGGGCGGGACACGUGGUAUCCUGUCUGAAUAUGGGGGGACCAUCCUCCAAGGCUAAAUACUCCUGACUGACCGAUAGUGAACCAGUACCGUGAGGGAAAGGCGAAAAGAACCCCGGCGAGGGGAGUGAAAAAGAACCUGAAACCGUGUACGUACAAGCAGUGGGAGCACGCUUAGGCGUGUGACUGCGUACCUUUUGUAUAAUGGGUCAGCGACUUAUAUUCUGUAGCAAGGUUAACCGAAUAGGGGAGCCGAAGGGAAACCGAGUCUUAACUGGGCGUUAAGUUGCAGGGUAUAGACCCGAAACCCGGUGAUCUAGCCAUGGGCAGGUUGAAGGUUGGGUAACACUAACUGGAGGACCGAACCGACUAAUGUUGAAAAAUUAGCGGAUGACUUGUGGCUGGGGGUGAAAGGCCAAUCAAACCGGGAGAUAGCUGGUUCUCCCCGAAAGCUAUUUAGGUAGCGCCUCGUGAAUUCAUCUCCGGGGGUAGAGCACUGUUUCGGCAAGGGGGUCAUCCCGACUUACCAACCCGAUGCAAACUGCGAAUACCGGAGAAUGUUAUCACGGGAGACACACGGCGGGUGCUAACGUCCGUCGUGAAGAGGGAAACAACCCAGACCGCCAGCUAAGGUCCCAAAGUCAUGGUUAAGUGGGAAACGAUGUGGGAAGGCCCAGACAGCCAGGAUGUUGGCUUAGAAGCAGCCAUCAUUUAAAGAAAGCGUAAUAGCUCACUGGUCGAGUCGGCCUGCGCGGAAGAUGUAACGGGGCUAAACCAUGCACCGAAGCUGCGGCAGCGACGCUGAUGCGUUGUUGGGUAGGGGAGCGUUCUGUAAGCCUGCGAAGGUGUGCUGUGAGGCAUGCUGGAGGUAUCAGAAGUGCGAAUGCUGACAUAAGUAACGAUAAAGCGGGUGAAAAGCCCGCUCGCCGGAAGACCAAGGGUUCCUGUCCAACGUUAAUCGGGGCAGGGUGAGUCGACCCCUAAGGCGAGGCCGAAAGGCGUAGUCGAUGGGAAACAGGUUAAUAUUCCUGUACUUGGUGUUACUGCGAAGGGGGGACGGAGAAGGCUAUGUUGGCCGGGCGACGGUUGUCCCGGUUUAAGCGUGUAGGCUGGUUUUCCAGGCAAAUCCGGAAAAUCAAGGCUGAGGCGUGAUGACGAGGCACUACGGUGCUGAAGCAACAAAUGCCCUGCUUCCAGGAAAAGCCUCUAAGCAUCAGGUAACAUCAAAUCGUACCCCAAACCGACACAGGUGGUCAGGUAGAGAAUACCAAGGCGCUUGAGAGAACUCGGGUGAAGGAACUAGGCAAAAUGGUGCCGUAACUUCGGGAGAAGGCACGCUGAUAUGUAGGUGAAGUCCCUCGCGGAUGGAGCUGAAAUCAGUCGAAGAUACCAGCUGGCUGCAACUGUUUAUUAAAAACACAGCACUGUGCAAACACGAAAGUGGACGUAUACGGUGUGACGCCUGCCCGGUGCCGGAAGGUUAAUUGAUGGGGUUAGCGCAAGCGAAGCUCUUGAUCGAAGCCCCGGUAAACGGCGGCCGUAACUAUAACGGUCCUAAGGUAGCGAAAUUCCUUGUCGGGUAAGUUCCGACCUGCACGAAUGGCGUAAUGAUGGCCAGGCUGUCUCCACCCGAGACUCAGUGAAAUUGAACUCGCUGUGAAGAUGCAGUGUACCCGCGGCAAGACGGAAAGACCCCGUGAACCUUUACUAUAGCUUGACACUGAACAUUGAGCCUUGAUGUGUAGGAUAGGUGGGAGGCUUUGAAGUGUGGACGCCAGUCUGCAUGGAGCCGACCUUGAAAUACCACCCUUUAAUGUUUGAUGUUCUAACGUUGACCCGUAAUCCGGGUUGCGGACAGUGUCUGGUGGGUAGUUUGACUGGGGCGGUCUCCUCCUAAAGAGUAACGGAGGAGCACGAAGGUUGGCUAAUCCUGGUCGGACAUCAGGAGGUUAGUGCAAUGGCAUAAGCCAGCUUGACUGCGAGCGUGACGGCGCGAGCAGGUGCGAAAGCAGGUCAUAGUGAUCCGGUGGUUCUGAAUGGAAGGGCCAUCGCUCAACGGAUAAAAGGUACUCCGGGGAUAACAGGCUGAUACCGCCCAAGAGUUCAUAUCGACGGCGGUGUUUGGCACCUCGAUGUCGGCUCAUCACAUCCUGGGGCUGAAGUAGGUCCCAAGGGUAUGGCUGUUCGCCAUUUAAAGUGGUACGCGAGCUGGGUUUAGAACGUCGUGAGACAGUUCGGUCCCUAUCUGCCGUGGGCGCUGGAGAACUGAGGGGGGCUGCUCCUAGUACGAGAGGACCGGAGUGGACGCAUCACUGGUGUUCGGGUUGUCAUGCCAAUGGCACUGCCCGGUAGCUAAAUGCGGAAGAGAUAAGUGCUGAAAGCAUCUAAGCACGAAACUUGCCCCGAGAUGAGUUCUCCCUGACUCCUUGAGAGUCCUGAAGGAACGUUGAAGACGACGACGUUGAUAGGCCGGGUGUGUAAGCGCAGCGAUGCGUUGAGCUAACCGGUACUAAUGAACCGUGAGGCUUAACCUU